AGAGUUUGAUCCUGGCUCAGGACGAACGCUGGCGGCAUGCCUAAUACAUGCAAGUCGAACGAGCUUCCGUUGAAUGACGUGCUUGCACUGAUUUCAACAAUGAAGCGAGUGGCGAACUGGUGAGUAACACGUGGGAAAUCUGCCCAGAAGCAGGGGAUAACACUUGGAAACAGGUGCUAAUACCGUAUAACAACAAAAUCCGCAUGGAUUUUGUUUGAAAGGUGGCUUCGGCUAUCACUUCUGGAUGAUCCCGCGGCGUAUUAGUUAGUUGGUGAGGUAAAGGCCCACCAAGACGAUGAUACGUAGCCGACCUGAGAGGGUAAUCGGCCACAUUGGGACUGAGACACGGCGGUUGACGGUAUUUAACCAGAAAGCCACGGCUAACUACGUGCCAGCAGCCGCGGUAAUACGUAGGUGGCAAGCGUUGUCCGGAUUUAUUGGGCGUAAAGCGAGCGCAGGCGGUUUUUUAAGUCUGAUGUGAAAGCCUUCGGCUUAACCGGAGAAGUGCAUCGGAAACUGGGAGACUUGAGUGCAGAAGAGGACAGUGGAACUCCAUGUGUAGCGGUGGAAUGCGUAGAUAUAUGGAAGAACACCAGUGGCGAAGGCGGCUGUCUAGUCUGUAACUGACGCUGAGGCUCGAAAGCAUGGGUAGCGAACAGGAUUAGAUACCCUGGUAGUCCAUGCCGUAAACGAUGAGUGCUAAGUGUUGGAGGGUUUCCGCCCUUCAGUGCUGCAGCUAACGCAUUAAGCACUCCGCCUGGGGAGUACGACCGCAAGGUUGAAACUCAAAGGAAUUGACGGGGGCCCGCACAAGCGGUGGAGCAUGUGGUUUAAUUCGAAGCUACGCGAAGAACCUUACCAGGUCUUGACAUCUUCUGCCAAUCUUAGAGAUAAGACGUUCCCUUCGGGGACAGAAUGACAGGUGGUGCAUGGUUGUCGUCAGCUCGUGUCGUGAGAUGUUGGGUUAAGUCCCGCAACGAGCGCAACCCUUAUUAUCAGUUGCCAGCAUUCAGUUGGGCACUCUGGUGAGACUGCCGGUGACAAACCGGAGGAAGGUGGGGAUGACGUCAAAUCAUCAUGCCCCUUAUGACCUGGGCUACACACGUGCUACAAUGGACGGUACAACGAGUCGCGAAGUCGUGAGGCUAAGCUAAUCUCUUAAAGCCGUUCUCAGUUCGGAUUGUAGGCUGCAACUCGCCUACAUGAAGUUGGAAUCGCUAGUAAUCGCGGAUCAGCAUGCCGCGGUGAAUACGUUCCCGGGCCUUGUACACACCGCCCGUCACACCAUGAGAGUUUGUAACACCCAAAGCCGGUGAGAUAACCUUCGGGAGUCAGCCGUCUAAGGUGGGACAGAUGAUUAGGGUGAAGUCGUAACAAGGUAGCCGUAGGAGAACCUGCGGCUG
rnacentral:rRNA from 1 species